rfam:Populus trichocarpa isolate Nisqually-1 chromosome 8, whole genome shotgun sequence.
UAAUCUGUAUGGGGCAGAUCCUCGUUCAGUUAUGACAGACUCAUAGCUCAAAAUCACCGUACCAUGUGAACAAUAACUUUUAAAGAUUUUAAUUGUUGUAU